ACCGAAGAAAACAAGACAAAUUCUGCGUGCGGGUGCGGGUGCGGGUGCGAGCCGGUUCGCGGGGGAGCACGCUUCAGGCUGUGCAGCAAUAGCAUCAAGCCAUCAACGUCGCAUCAUUGGCGGGGCGGGGCUGGGAGGCAGGCCGGGCCGAGCAGGUGCAGGUGCAGGACCAGCGCCACAGCACACAGGAAGGUAGCAUAAGCUGCCAUGGGCCCAUCCAUGGCCGAUGAGUACUGGGUACUUUGGGCCUGCUAGAUCACUUUUCAAACCGUGUACUUUAUAUUUCUUUCCGAAGCAGUUUUGCUAUAGUAAACACUGGUUUUACUAUAGUAACAGUGGUUUUAUUUUUUUUAUUAGUUAUUUUAGUUGAAUCUUGAAAAAUCAUAGUAAAUCACAGAGAAAUCAUAAAAUAGAAAAUCUAAUUUUGUUGGACUCCACGUAAGUAGGUCUGCACAAUAAACAUAUAAUAUGGUAUGUUUUAGUAUAAAGAUUUUUCUAUAGAAGUUUUGUCUUUUUUUAUUUAUUUUGGCUAAAUAUUUGAAAAUCAUAGUAAAUUACAGAAAAAUCAUAAAAUAUAAAAUCUAAUUUUGUUAGACUCCACAUGAGCAUAUCUACAUGGUAAAUAUAUGAUAUGAUAUGCUUUAGUAUAAUUUUUUUGUUGUAGCUUUAGAUCUAUACUUUUCUAUAAUUAACUGAAAUAAUUCAUAGUUGUAGCUUCUAUAAUUAUUUGUCGGACUAAAACAUACAUAUAUUAUAUGUUCAUUGUGUAUAUAUACUCAUUUGG
rnacentral:lncRNA from 1 species